rnacentral:lncRNA from 1 species
GAAAUGUCUUUUGUGUCUUUUGGGGAAGCUGAAGGCCUGUCCUGUUUCUCUCUUAACUUUAGGAUUAAAUCUAAGCCCAUUGCUUAGCACUGAGAUGAGACAGAGGCUGGAGGUGUGUAGGCAAUGACUGGCAGUCUCCCUUUCCGGCCCAAGAGACCUGUGGUGUUUCAGAGUGGAAGCUGUAGGUCGACCUGAUGAAGAGAAUCUGAGCCCACAGACUUACUCAUUGCUCAAACAACAAAGCCAAGGUAAGAAGAAACAAGAAAGAAAAGGCAUUACUAUAUUUUCCUUAAAAAAGCCCUCU